rnacentral:rRNA from 1 species
UACGUAGGUGGCAAGCGUUGUCGGGAAUUAUUGGGCGUAAAGCGCGCGCAGGCGGUCCUUUAAGUCUGAUGUGAAAGCCCACGGCUCAACCGUGGAGGGUCAUUGGAAACUGGGGGACUUGAGUGCAGGAGAGAAGAGUGGAAUUCCACGUGUAGCGGUGAAAUGCGUAGAGAUGUGGAGGAACACCAGUGGCGAAGGCGACUCUUUGGUCUGUAACUGACGCUGAGGCGCGAAAGCGUGGGGAGCAAACAGG